rnacentral:rRNA from 1 species
GUAGGUGGCAAGCGUUGUCCGGAAUUAUUGGGCGUAAAGCGCGCACAGGCGGUCCUUUAAGUCUGAUGUGAAAGCCCACGGCUCAACCGUGGAGGGUCAUUGGAAACUGGGGGACUUGAGUACAGAAGAGGAAAGCGGAAUUCCAAGUGUAGCGGUGAAAUGCGUAGAGAUUUGGAGGAACACCAGUGGCGAAGGCGGCUUUCUGGUCUGUAACUGACGCUGAGGCGCGAAAGCGUGGGGAGCAAACAGGGAUUAGAUACCCUGGUAGUCCACGCCGUAAACGAUGAGUGCUAAGUGUUAGGGGGUUUCCCGCCCCUUAGUGCUGCAGCUAACGCAUUAAGCACUCCGCCUGGGGAGUACGGCCGCAAGGCUG